AGAACGAACGCUGGCGGCAUGCCUAAUACAUGCAAGUCGAACGAACUCUUCGGAGUUAGUGGCGCACGGGUGCGUAACGCGUGGGAAUCUGCCCCUUGGUUCGGAAUAACAGUUGGAAACGACUGCUAAUACCGGAUGAUGACGAAAGUCCAAAGAUUUAUCGCCAAGGGAUGAGCCCGCGUAGGAUUAGCUAGUUGGUGAGGUAAAGGCUCACCAAGGCAACGAUCCUUAGCUGGUCUGAGGGGAUGAUCAGCCACACUGGGACUGAGACACGGCCCAGACUCCUACGGGAGGCAGCAGUAGGGAAUAUUGGACAAUGGGCGAAAGCCUGAUCCAGCAAAUGCCGCGUGAGUGAUGAAGGCCUUAGGUUGUAAAGCUCUUUUACCCGAGAUGAUAAUGACAGUAGCGGGAGAAAUAAAGCCCCGGCUAAACUCCGUGCCAGCAGCCGC
rnacentral:rRNA from 1 species